rnacentral:rRNA from 1 species
UCAUUAAUGAUCCUUCCGUAGGUGAACCUGCGGAAGGAUCAUUA